rnacentral:lncRNA from 1 species
UUACGCAUGCUCUACGACGGUGGCUCAGAGAGGUCAAAUUACGUCAUGGCUGAAAGCACAGGCUCUGGAUGAUCUAAACCAUGACCUGCCUUCACUGCAGUCUACCUAACUGAUUUAGAAUUGUAUUUUUAUGUUGCUGUCUCCCCAUCUCUUUCUCUUUUGGAUAAUCUUUUUUGACUAUAAUUCCACUGCCUAGCACAUAGCCUAGCAUCUGAUAGCCUCUCAAUAAACAUAGGUUGAAUGAAUGAAUGACUCCACCCCUUUUCCCCAAG